GGGGACUCCGAGUGUGAGGGCAUAUAGCCCUCGCUUUUCUGUACCGUAAGGUGGUACAAGAAUAAGGACCGGGCAAGACCGGUGCCAGCCGCCGCGGUAAUACCGGCAGUCCAAGUGAUGGCCGAUAUUAUUGGGCCUAAAGCGUCCGUAGCCUGCUGUGUAAGUCCAUUGGGAAAUCGACCAGCUCAACUGGUCGACGUCCGGUGGAAACUACACAGCUUGGGGCCGAGAGACUCAACGGGUACGUCCGGGGUAGGAGUGAAAUCCUGUAAUCCUGGACGGACCACCAAUGGGGAAACCACGUUGAGAGACCGGACCCGACGGUGAGGGACGAAAGCCAGGGUCUCGAACCGGAUUAGAUACCCGGGUAGUCCUGGCUGUAAACAAUGCUCGCUAGGUAUGUCACGCGCCAUGAGCACGUGAUGUGCCGUAGUGAAGACGAUAAGCGAGCCGCCUGGGAAGUACGUCCGCAAGGAUGAAACUUAAAGGAAUUGGCGGGGGAGCACCACAACCGGAGGAGCCUGCGGUUUAAUUGGACUCAACGCCGGACAUCUCACCGGUCCCGACAGUAGUAAUGACAGUCAGGUUGACGACUUUACUCGACGCUACUGAGAGGAGGUGCAUGGCCGCCGUCAGCUCGUACCGUGAGGCGUCCUGUUAAGUCAGGCAACGAGCGAGACCCGCACUUCUAGUUGCCAGCAAUACCCUUGAGGUAGUUGGGUACACUAGGAGGACUGCCGCUGCUAAAGCGGAGGAAGGAACGGGCAACGGUAGGUCAGUAUGCCCCGAAUGGACCGGGCAACACGCGGGCUACAAUGGCUCUGACAGUGGGAUGCAACGCCGAGAGGCGACGCUAAUCUCCAAACGGAGUCGUAGUUCGGAUUGCGGGCUGAAACCCGCCCGCAUGAAGCUGGAUUCGGUAGU
rnacentral:rRNA from 1 species